GUGCUUGCUUCAGCAGCACAUAUACUAAAAUUGGAAUGAUAUAGAGAAGAUUAGCAUGUCCCUUGCACAAGGAUAACAUGCAUAUUCAUGAAGUGUUCCAUAUUUUU
ensembl:snRNA U6 U6 spliceosomal RNA